CUGCGAAUGGCUCAUUAAAUCAGUUAUCGUUUAUUUGAUAGUACCUUACUACACGGAUAUCUGUGGUAAUUCUAGAGUUAAUACGUGCUAAAAACCUCGACUUCGGAAGGGGUGUAUUUAUUAGACAAAAAACCAAUGCCCUUCGGGGCUCCUUGGUGAUUCAUAAUAACUCAACGAAUCGCAUGGCCUUGCGCCGGCGAUGGUUCAUUCAAAUUUCUGCCCUAUCAACUUUCGAUGCUAGGGUAGUGGCCUAGCAUGGUUACAACGGGUAACGGGGAAUUAGGGUUCUAUUCCGGAGAGGGAGCCCGAGAAACGGCUACCACAUCCAAGGAAGGCAGCAGGCGCGCAAAUUACCCAAUCCCGACUCGGGGAGGUAGUGACAAUAAAUACUGAUACAGGGCUCUUUUGGGUCUUGUAAUUGGAAUGAGUACGAUUUAAAUACCCUAACGAGGAACAAUUGGAGGGCAAGUCUGGUGCCAGCAGCCGCGGUAAUUCCAGCUCCAAUAGCGUAUAUUAAAGUUGUUGCAGUUAAAACGCUCGUCGUUGAACCUUGGGCCUGGGCGACCGGUCUCCCUCACCGGAUGCACUGGUUCGGCCGGGCCUUUCCUUCUGGGGAUCCGCAUGCCCUUCGCUGGGCGUGUCGGGGAACCAGGACUUUUACUUUGAAAAAAUUAGAGUGUUCAAAGCAGGCCUUUGCUCGAAUACCUUAGCAUGGAAUAAUAGAAUAGGACGUGCGGUCCUAUUUUGUUGGUUUCUAGGACCGCCGUAAUGAUUAAUAGGGUCAGUCGGGGGCAUCAGUAUUCAAUUGUCAGAGGUGAAAUUCUUAGAUUUAUUGAAGACUAACUACUGCGAAAGCAUUUGCCAAGGAUGUUUUCAUUAAUCAGUGAACGAAAGUUAGGGGAUCGAAGACGAUCAAAUACCGUCGUAGUCCUACCAUAAACUAUGCCGACUAGGGAUCGGGCGAUGUUAUCAUUUUGACUCGCUCGGCACCUUACGAAAAUCAAAGUGUUUGGGUUCUGGGGGGAAUUGGUCCCAGGCUAACUUAAAGAUGCGAG
rnacentral:rRNA from 1 species